GAUUAAAUCAUCUUCCACCAGGCCCCACCUUUAACAUUCCAAUUACAAUCCCACAUGAGUUUUGGUAGGGACACAGCGCUGAAUUUUAUUAUUCUUUCCCUCACUCCCCAAAUCUCAUGUCCUUCUCACAUUGCAAAAUACAAUGAUGCCUUCCCUAAAGUCUCAUAAAAUCUUAUAUCAUUCCAGCAUUUAUACAAAUGUCCAAAGCCUAAAGUCUCAUCUGACACAAGGCUACAGUCCCUUAGGCCCAUGAGCCUCUGAAAUAUAAAGCAAGUUAACUACUUCCAAGGUACAAUGCUUGUACAGGCAUUGGGUAAGCAUUCCCAGCCAAAAGGAAGAAUUUUGCCAGAAAAAAAACAAAACACAGAUAGGACUUACUGGCCCCAUGAAACUCCAAACCCAGAAGGCCAGUCAUUCAAUCCUACAGCUCCAAAAUCACCCUUUUUGAAACCCUGUCCCACAUCCAGGACACAGGGGUGUGAGGGCUGGGCUCCCAAGGCCUCGGGCAGCUUGGCACCUGUGGCUUUGCAGGGUAUAUGCCCCAAGGGUGCCCUCAUGGGCUGGGCUGGUGAUGAGUGCCUGUGACUUUUCCACAUUGAGGAAACAAGUUUUGGGGGGGGGUCUAUGAAUCUGGGGUCUGCAUGAUGGUGGUCUCCAGUGUGGGAGUUCCAACCCCAUAUUUUCCUUCUGCACUGCCCUAGUAGAAGUUUCAUAUAAGGCUCUGCCUUUUUGGGAUGUUUUGCCUGGACACCCAGGAAUUUCCAUACAUCUUCCAAAAUCUAUAGAGAGGUUUCCAAGCCUCUAGUCUCACACUCCGUCCACCAGUGGCUUAACACUAUGAGGAUGUUACCAAGGCUUCUAGCCUGCAUCCUCUGAAGCAGUGACCUGAGCUGUACCUGUGCAUCUUUCAGCCAUGGCUGGAGCUUGAGCUGCAGGGAUGCAGGCAGCAGUGUUCUGAGGCUGCACAUAGAGGAGGCUCAUGGAACUGGCCAAGGAAACCAUGCUUCUCUCCUAGGCCCCAGGGCCUACAAUAGCAAGGGCUGCUGCAAAGGUCUCUGAAAUGCCUUCAAGGCCUUUUUCCCUAUUAUCUUGUCUAUUAGCACCGGGCUCCUUUUCAUGCAAGUUUCUGAAGCCUUCCUCAAUUUUCCCCCUGAAAAUCAGCUUUUCUUUUUGACCACUUGGCCAGGCUCCAAAUUUUCCUAAAUUUGAGUUCUGAGAGACGGGACUCAUUUAAUGUAAGUCCCAUCCAGAGGUCAUUUCCUCCAUCACACAUAAGAGCACAGGCUGUUCCAUGGGGACAGGACACCUCUUGAGAUUUGCUGCCCAGUUCAUUCCACCAGAUACUCAGUAAGUCAUCACCCUCAAGUUCAGUUUCACAGAUCUCCAGGGCAGGGUCACCGUGCAGCCACAUUCUUUGUUAAGGCAAAACAAAAGUCACUUUGGCUUCUGUUCCCAGUAAGUUCCUCAUUUUCAUUUGAGACCUUCUAAGUCUGGCUUUCACUCACCAUUUUCCUGUGAGCCUUCUGGUCACAAGUAUGUAACAAUUCUUUACAAAGAUCCAAACUUUCCCUCAACUUCUUGUCUGCAAAGCCCUCCAAACUCUCUGAACUCUGUCUGCUACCCCCUUCUGAACCUGCUUCUACAUUAUCAGCUAUCUUUGCUGCAGCCUGACAAUGUAGUAAGGGAAGACAAGUCCAUUUUCAGGGGGAAAAUUCAAGAAGGGUUCAGAGACUUCAAUGAAAAGAAGCUGAGUGCUCACUCCCAAGACAAUAGGGAAAAGGCCUUGAAGACAUUUAAUAGACCCACUUUGCAGUACUAAUUUUCUCUAUGAUCAUAAAGAAGAGGUUUACUUGGCUCAUGAUUCUGCAGGCUAUAAGGAAGUAUAGUGGCUUCUACAUCUAAGAGGAAUCAGGAAGCCUCCCAGUCAUACCAGAAUGUCAAGGGGCAAUGAGAUGAUUCAUGUGGCAGGAGGAGGAGCAAGACAGGGAGAGGAGAGAGGUCCCACACCCGAUUAUACAACCAGAUCUCAUGAGAACUCACUAUCACAAGGUCAGCAUCACAAAGAUGGUGCUUAACCACUGGUGAAGGAUUCACCCCCUACCCCCAACUCCCACUAUUUCCAGGCAGAAGCCUGAGGCAGAGGCAGAGCCUCUUGGAAAACUCUACUAGGGAAGUGUGGAAGGGAAAUAUGGGCUUGGAGCACCCACACAGAUGGCCACCAACCUCCAGACCCCAGAUUCAUAGACCCACCAACAGCUCACACCUUGUGUGGAAAAGCUACAGGCACUCAACACCAGCCCAGCCCAUGAGAGCUGCGGCAGGGGCUAAACCCUGCAAAGCCACAGGUGCAUUGCCCUAGUAGAGGGUUUCCCAUGAGCCUCUGCCUCUGCAGCAGGCUGCUCCC
rnacentral:lncRNA from 1 species